CGAGCUGGGUUCAGAACGUCGUGAGACAGUUCGGUCCCUAUCCGUCGUGGGCGUAGGAAAUUUGAGAGGAGCUGUCCUUAGUACGAGAGGACCGGGAUGGACAUACCUCUGGUGUACCAGUUGUCGUGCCAACGGCAUAGCUGGGUAGCUAUGUGUGGACGGGAUAAGUGCUGAAAGCAUCUAAGCAUGAAGCCCCCCUCAAGAUGAGAUUUCCCAACUUCGGUUAUAAGAUCCCUCAAAGAUGAUGAGGUUAAUAGGUUCGAGGUGGAAGCAUGGUGACAUGUGGAGCUGACGAAUACUAAUCGAUCGAAGACUUAAUCAA
rnacentral:rRNA from 1 species